GACGAACGCUGGCGGCGUGCUUAACACAUGCAAGUCGAACGGAAAGGCCCCUUUGGGGGUACUCGAGUGGCGAACGGGGGAGUAACACGUGAGUAACCUGCCCUUGACUUCGGGAUAACUUCAGGAAACUGGGGCUAAUACCGGAUAGGAAUCCUUGCUGCAUGGUGGGGGUUGGAAAGCUUCUGCGGUUUUGGAUGGACUCGCGGCGUAUCAGCUUGUUGGUGGGGUAGUGGCUUACCAAGGCUUUGACGGGUAGCCUGCCUGAAAGGGCGACCGGCCUGAUUGGGACUGAGAGACGGCCCAGAGUGCUAAGGGAGGAGACAGUGGGGAAUAUUGCACAAUGCGCGGCAGACUGAUGCAGCAACGCCGCGUGCGGGAUGACGGCCUUCGGGUUGUAAACCGAUUUCAGCAGGGGCGAAGCUUGUGGUGACGGUACCUGCAGAAGAAGCACCGGCUAACUACGUG
rnacentral:rRNA from 1 species